CCUACGGGCGGCCGCAGUGGGGAAUAUUGGGCAAUGGGCGCAAGCCUGACCCAGCAACGCCGCGUGAAGGAAGAAGGCUUUCGGGUUGUAAACUUCUAUUCUGAGGGACGAAGAAAGUGACGGUACCUCAGGAAUAAGCCACGGCUAACUACGUGCCAGCAGCCGCGGUAAUACGUAGGGGGCAAGCGUUAUCCGGAUUUAUUGGGUGGAAAGGGAGUGUAGGCGGGAAAGCAAGUCUGAAGUGAAAACCGAGGGCUCAACCCCUGGCCUGCUUUGGAAACUGUUUGGCUGGAGUGCUGGAGAGGCAAGCGGAAUUCCGGGUGUAGCGGUGAAAUGCGGAGAUAUACGGAGGAACACCAGUGGCGAAGGCGGAUUACUGGACAGUAACUGACGCUGAGGCGCGAAAGCGUGGGGAGCAAACAGGAUUAGAUACCCGAGUAGUC
rnacentral:rRNA from 1 species